AUUGAACGCUGGCGGCAGGCUUAACACAUGCAAGUCGAGCGGGGAAGGUUGCUUCGGUAACUGACCUAGCGUCGGACGGGUGAGUAAUGCUUAGGAAUCUGCCAUUUAGUGGGGGACAACAUUCCGAAAGGAAUGCUAAUACCGCAUACGUCCUACGGGAGAAAGCAGGGGAUCUUCGGACCUUGCGCUAAAUGAUGAGCCUAGGUCGGAUUAGCUAGUUGGUGGGGUAAAGGCCUACCAAGGCGACGAUCUGUAGCGGGUCUGAGAGGAUGAUCCGCCAGACUGGGACUGAGACACGGCCCAGACUCCUACGGGAGGCAGCAGUGUGGAAUAUUGGACAAUGGGCGGAAGCCUGAUCCAGCCAUGCCGCGUGUGUGAAGAAGGCCUUAUGGUUGUAAAGCACUUUAAGCGAGGAGGAGGCUACCUAGAUUAAUACUCUAGGAUAGUGGACGUUACUCGCAGAAUAAGCACCGGCUAACUCUGUGCCAGCAGCCGCAGUAAAAC
rnacentral:rRNA from 1 species